AUGAUCCAACUGGUCAUGCCAAACAUUAAAAUCAUUAAGCUAAUAGAAAUAAUUGGCAGCACGGUUGCCCACAAAACCAGAAACGACUAAAACCAAAAUCAGCGGAAUGGACACGACAGGUUGGGAGUGCCUACCGGAUGCCAAAAUCAGCCUACAGAACAGAUGCGAGCUACUCGAUUCCACACGAAAGUCCCCAAAAGCUAUAUAUAUCCGCACAAGGCAACAAUUAAUUGGAAUGAGUCUUUCAUAACUCAAUGAGUAGGCGCGGAAGUAAACAUGCGGAAACGGGAGAGUUUAGUUAUUUAUUUUAACCAGAACUAGUAUUAUCCAAGUCACCGCCCUUACAUUUUCGAACCCAUUUACCUUAACAGAAUCAAAAUCAUAACUGGUUCAUUGAAGCAUAUUCUGCAUACCAGGCAUAACAAAUUUCAGGCGUAUUUUAGAACUAUUUCACGUCCCAAUUCUCUUAGGCGCUAUCAGACAUGUGGAAACAGAAUUUAAAUGGAGCAAACUAGCCUCAGAAGUCCAUAAGUAAAUAACAGAAGCAUAGUCACAGAGAAACAGAAGUUCAUGAGCAGAAAUAGAGAAUGACAGAAUGCUUAUCUAAAGCUGAUCGGAUAUCCAGGAAAAAGAUGCUAAGGCUCAAACCUUUCCCCCAGCACCAACAAACAGAAAGAUUUAAUUAAAACAUUGCCCAACUUGUCUUUAACUCCUUAACCUUCACAGAAUUACGUCUGUAGCUAACCAUUCGAAUCAUAAGUUAGAUGGUAAGUACAACAGAUUCUAAGCUCACUUUGGAACUAAUUCAAGUGCCCAAUCCAAGAGUCUUAAGCAAACAGAUCAAACUAGAGUUUAGUUGACAGAAACUCACCUUGAAGGCACAUGUGCAAAAAACAAAGGCUUAUAGCAGCAAACAGCAACUUACGAAUCGAAACAGAUUAUCAAAAGCUCAGCCACAGAAAACAUAAGACAGACAUACCAAAUAUGGCAGAGCUUAAAGCUUACUUUCAAACUAGGCCAAACUUCAAGUCUCCCAGACUAAGUCAGAAUUGCCCAGCAAUUUAAACUAAGCAAAUAUGUCUUAGGCAUUCAUCACAGAGGAAAAAAAAAAUACAAUAUGACAAAGCAUGCACGCCUUAGAAGUGCAUGAACAUAAAACAGAACUUCAUUAAAAUAAACAGAUACAUAUUAGAGUAAACAAAUGUAUAUCAGACUCAUUCGGUGCCAAAGCCACCGAUGGAAUAACCGGUCUUAUUCGAUCAUUACAGACUCGUCCGGAACCAUAUUCAUCAGAUGGAAUAGCAUACUACACAGACGCAUUCAGCAUUAUAUAGAAAACACGAACAAUGUGGUUUAUACAGCAGAAUAGAUUUUUCCAGAAAGCCUUUUGAAGGUCAAAAGGUAUAGAAUGCUGGUUUCCCGUGUUACAGAUAUAUAUAUAUCUCAAAACUCCCACACUUUUUUUUUUGAGCCUCCCACACCACCUAAACAGAAUAAAAUCUCAAAACUCGUGUUUUCAGAAAGUUCCAGGAUUUCUAAGCAUAACUCAGUUUCAUUUCUUUACUAACAACUUCCAAACUAAAAUCUCAGAAUUUCCAAUCAUCAAUAUACCUCAAACUCUUACCUCAGUGGCCAACCCAAAGCACCCUAACUCCAAAUUGCUUCAGCUUGAGCCAAUUGUGGCUUGGCUUUGGUGUGUGUUUCUAAGCCCCAAAGUGCCGCUACAAUGCCUGAAGAUCUCAAGGGAAACUUGGGAGCUCAUGGAUAAAAGAAGAAAGCUUAAGUUUUCUUUCACCAAAGCAAGGGGCGGACAGAACAAAGGAGUUUCAAGCCAGCCUCGAAA
rnacentral:lncRNA from 1 species